UCUCAGAUUAUUGAAGGUGCUCCGGGCACAGUUAGCAUGGGGAUGGAGAGAGACUCUGCGGUGCUUUGAUAAACAAUGAACUUAAAAGGAAAGAAAGUGAGGUUUACAGUCGACGCUGAGUCUGUCGUUCAGUCAGCCCAGCUUGGGCUCCAGACAUGUGAGUCAAGAAGCCAUCUUGAAAAUGGACUCUCUAGCCCUAGCUGUCCCCACCACCAGCCAUUCAGAUCGCUCCCUGUUACGUGAGUGGUCCCAGCUGAA